UAAGGAAUAUUGGUCAAUGGACGCAAGUCUGAACCAGCCAUGCCGCGUGAAGGAUGAAGGUCCUCUGGAUUGUAAACCUCUUUUAUCUGGGACGAAAACGGGAUUUUUAUCUCAAUUGACGGUACCAGAGGAAUAAGCACCGGCUAACUCCGUGCCAGCAGCCGCGGUAAUACGGAGGGUGCGAGCGUUAUCCGGAUUUACUGGGUUUAAAGGGUGCGUAGGUGGGCUUAUAAGUCAGUGGUGAAAUCUCCGAGCUUAACUUGGAAACUGCCGUUGAUACUAUAGGUCUUGAAUUAUCUGGAGGUAAGCGGAAUAUGUCAUGUAGCGGUGAAAUGCUUAGAUAUGACAUAGAACACCAAUUGCGAAGGCAGCUUACUACAUAUAAAUUGACGCUGAGGCACGAAAGCGUGGGGAUCAAACA
rnacentral:rRNA from 1 species